CGAAGAACCUUACCUGGUCUUGACAUAGUAAGAACUUUCCAGAGAUGGAUUGGUGCCUUCGGGAACUUACAUACAGGUGCUGCAUGGCUGUCGUCAGCUCGUGUCGUGAGAUUGUUGGGUUAAGUCCCGCAACGAGCGCAACCCUUUUCCUUAUUUGCCAGCGGGUUAAGCCGGGAACUUUAAGGAUACUGCCAGUGACAAACUGGAGGAAGGCGGGGACGACGUCAAGUCAUCAUGGCCCUUACGACCAGGGCUACACACGUGCUACAAUGGUCGGUACAAAGGGUUGCUACCUCGCGAGAGGAUGCUAAUCUACAAAAAGCCGAUCGUAGUCCGGAUUGGAGUCUGCAACUCGACUCCAUGAAGUCGGAAUCGCUAGUAAUCGCGGAUCAGAAUGCCGCGGUGAAUACGUUCCCGGGCCUUGUACACACCGCCCGUCACACCAUGGGAGUUUGUUGCACCAGAAGUAGGUAGUCUAACCUUAGGGGGGACGCUUACCACGGUGUGGCAGAUGACUGGGGUGAAGUCGUAACAAGGUAGGCGUAGAUGA
rnacentral:rRNA from 1 species